UACGUAGGGCGCAAGCGUUGUCCGGAAUUAUUGGGCGUAAAGAGCUCGUAGGCGGCUUGUCACGUCGGGUGUGAAAGCCCGGGGCUUAACCCCGGGUCUGCAUUCGAUACGGGCUAGCUAGAGUGUGGUAGGGGAGAUCGGAAUUCCUGGUGUAGCGGUGAAAAUGCGCAGAUAUCAGGAGGAACACCGGUGGCGAAGGCGGAUCUCUGGGCCAUUACUGACGCUGAGGAGCGAAAGCGUGGGGAGCGAACAGG
rnacentral:rRNA from 1 species